rnacentral:rRNA from 1 species
AUUGAACGCUGGCGGCAGGCCUAACACAUGCAAGUCGAACGAGUGGCGGACGGGUGAGUAAUGUCUGGGAAUCUGCCUGAUGGAGGGGGAUAACUACUGGAAACGGUAGCUAAUACCGCAUACCAUCAGAUGUGCCCAGAUGGGAUUUGCUAGUUGGUGGGGUAACGGCUCACCUAGGCGACGAUCCCUAGCUGGUCUGAGAGGAUGACCAGCCACACUGGAACUGAGCAACGGCCCAGACUCCUACGGGAGGCAGCAGUGGGGAAUAUUGCACAAUGGGCGCAAGCCUGAUGCAGCCAUGCCGCGUGUAUGAAGAAGGCCUUAGGGUUGUAAAGUACUUUCAGCGGGGAGGCGUUACCCGCAGAAGAAGCACCGGCUAACUCCGUGCCAGCAGCCGCGGUAAUUC